rnacentral:misc_RNA from 1 species
UUGAAACAUGACUGUAUUAUACAAGUAUUAUUUUCUUCAUUCAAGUGAAUACAUGCCAACAAAACAUAGGGCUUGCAGAAACUUUCAGCAGUAGUGGUAACCAUUUAUACAAAAACCACCCAGCACAGAAAACAACUAACUGACAGAGACCUAGUUAUCUUGAGGAACUAUAGACAUCCAUAGCUCUUGGAAUUCCCACAUCAAUUGGAUCCGCAGGUUCUUUCUUUUCAGUCUUGGGCUUAAGACUCUCAUUCUGUUCCCUUACUUCAGUCCCAGUAAGACACUCCUGGAAUCUGAAGCAACUGACGAGAUGGUCAUUUGUCAACCCAGCCACUUGCAUGAAUGCAUAUAUGACUGUUGGCCCCACACUUCGAAACCCUCUUCGUACUAGAUCUUUGCUUAUGGCCUCUGCUUUUGGGGUCUUGACUGGAACUUGACGGGAGUGUCGGAAUUGAUUAACUAUAGGCUUUUGGUUUACAAAGUUCCAGAUAUAUUUGUCGAAUGACCCAAACUCAUCUAUGACCUUGCACAUUUGACGUGCAUUUUCAAUGAUGGAUCGUAGCUUUAGUUCUGACAGUAGUGAGCUGGCAAGACUUCCGGGCACAGCUAUCUUUUUGUCGUUUAAUUUUGAAACAGCAAUUGGGUCAAAACCCAAAAACACUUCCCUAAAUAUAGGCCUUCUGUUAAGAAUGACAGGCCACGUAAGUUCAGCCAAAGCACCUGAGAGGCAUAGCAAUUCAAACAGCUUCUUGUCAUCAUGCACCUGUACUCCCCAUUCUGCAUCAUGAAAAGUUGCAUAGCAUGGAUCAGUAUUGGGAGUAACCCAACCGCACCUUUUCUUAAUUUCCAAGCAAUCAUCUGCAUCCAGUGGUCCACUAUUUCCGCUAACCACAUUGCCACUCUCCACCGCCAAACAGUCAUCGUCACCGCCGGUUUUCGCCUCCUUACCAAUUUUCACCUCACACUGUUUUCUCCUUACAACUCCAUUCCUCCGUGCCGCCACUGCCAUUUUCCCGCUCGACCAUGACCGUGACGAAAGCGAGGACGACGACGAUGCGCGGCUGUGCGUCGAAUCCGACGAGACGUCCGAUGAGCACGACCCAUUCAUCGACUUCUGUCGCAAAACAGCAGACGCCACUUUCCCAUGUUUCUUAUCCUUAGACUCAGUAUCUUGCUGCUGCGGUUUCUCAGCUUUCUUCACCGGCUUUUGCGGCGCCUUGUUCUCCGAUUCGGCGAUGUCCAUCGACCGGACUCGCGGUGGGACAGACAUUGUCCGCUAUAGUUUUUUGGCUCCCGAAAAUGCCCUGGGCAAACUUUCAAAUUUACUCUUCCAGUUGGAAUAUUUGAUGUCUCUGACCUGUGGGCGCUUGCAUAGAUAAAGACUGAGGCUAUGUGAUAAUGUUCAUAGCUGAGAGUGAGGUUGUGUUUGGUUAGUGGGAAAG